rnacentral:rRNA from 1 species
GGACGACGCUGGCGGCGUGGAUUAGGCAUGCAAGUCGAACGGUAUCAUCCUUUCGGGGAUGAGAGAGUGGCGAACGGGUGAGUAACACGUAGGUGAUCUACCCUCAAGACGGGGACAACCCAGGGAAACUUGGGCUAAUACCGGAUGUGAGCUAUCGUGAGAUAGUUUGAAAGGUGGCUUCGGCUGCCGCUUGAGGAUGAGCCUGCGUCCUAUUAGCUAGUUGGUGAGGUAACGGCUCACCGAGGCAGUGAUAGGUAGGCGGCCUUAACGGGUGGUCGCCCACACUGGGAUUGAGAUACGGCCCAGACUCCUACGGGAGGCAGCAGUCGAGAAUAGUCUACAAUGGUCGGAAGACUGAUAGUGCGACGCCGCGUGAACGAUGAAUCCCUUCGGGGUGUAAAGUUCUUUUAUAUGUGAGCAGUGCUUCUUAUAUUAACAGUAUGGGGAGAGAGAUAUUAGCAUAUGAAUAAGCAACGGCUAACUCCGUG